CGGGGUGUAGCGCAGCUUGGUAGCGCACUUGGUUUGGGACCAAGGGGUCGCAGGUUCAAAUCCUGUCGCCCCGACCA
rnacentral:tRNA from 2 species